rnacentral:rRNA from 1 species
GACGAACCGUCCUAACGGUGUUCGGAAUCACUGGGCUUAAAGGGCGCGUAGGCGGCCGAUCAAGUCCGGGGUGAAAGCCCCCAGCCCAACUGGGGAAGUGCCUCGGAUACUGGUAGGCUUGAGGGAGGUAGGGGCAACUGGAACUUCCGGUGGAGCGGUGAAAUGCGUUGAUAUCGGAAGGAACGCCGGUGGCGAAAGCGAGUUGCUGGAUCUCUUCUGACGCUGAGGCGCGAAAGCUAGGGGAGCAAACGGG